AUUGAACGCUGGCGGCAUGCCUUACACAUGCAAGUCGAACGGUAACGGGCCUUCGGGUGCCGACGAGUGGCGAACGGGUGAGUAAUACAUCGGAACGUGCCCGAUCGUGGGGGAUAACGAGGCGAAAGCUUUGCUAAUACCGCAUACGAUCUACGGAUGAAAGCAGGGGACCGCAAGGCCUUGCGCGGACGGAGCGGCCGAUGGCAGAUUGGGUAGUUGGUGGGAUAAAAGCUUACCAAGCCGACGAUCUGUAGCUGGUCUGAGAGGAUGAUCAGCCACACUGGGACUGAGACACGGCCCAGACUCCUACGGGAGGCAGCAGUGGGGAAUUUUGGACAAUGGGCGCAAGCCUGAUCCAGCCAUGCCGCGUGCAGGAUGAAGGCCUUCGGGUUGUAAACUGCUUUUGUACGGAACGAAAAGCCUUCUUUUAAUACAGGAGGGUCAUGAUGGUACCGUAAGAAUAAGCACCGGCUAACUACGUG
rnacentral:rRNA from 1 species